CUCUAAGUGUAUAGUUUUAUUUAUAUGUAAUAAUGUUCAUAAUAAUGUUUCUACUUUUAUAAUUUACUUUAAAAUUUGUUUAUUAUUCUAUGGAUGAAACAUGUAUUAUUAUUUUUAUUAUUAUUAUUAAUUAUAUGCAAAUAGUUUUACUACUAAUAUAAAAGAUAUCACAAGAAAGAAUGUCACAAAAAAUAAUAAUAAAAUACUUUAAUCCAUAAAUGCAAUAUAUGAUUAUUUGGAUUAAUUUGUUAUUCUGAUUCUGCAUUUACUAUGGUUCUAGAAAAACAUUGGAAAUGUUUUUUUUUUUUUUUAGUGGUAGCCAGAGUUCGAACCCCGGAUCUUACAUAUUUUAUGCAUUGUUCAUACCAACUGAGCUAAACUCACGAGAACAAACAUUGAAAAUGUUUGUAAGCCCUAACUCAACUAAAAAUGUAAUAAUGUUCAUAAUAAUGUUUUUACUUUUAUAAUUUAUUUUAAAAUUUGUUUAUUAUUCUAUGGAUGAAACAUGUAUUAUUAUUUUUAUUAUUAUUAUUAAUUAUAUGCACCUAGUUUUACUACGAAUAUAAAAGAUAUCACAAGAAAGAAUGUCACAAAAAAUAAUAAUAAAAUACUUUAAUCCAUAAAUGCAAUAUAUGAUUAUUUGGAUUAAUUUUUUAUUCUGAUUCUGCAUUUACUAUGAUUUUAGAAAAACAUUGGAAAUGUUUUUUUUUUUUUUAGUGGUAGCCAGGGUUCGAACCCCGGAUCUUACAUAUUUUAUGCAUUGUCCAUACCAACUAAGUUAAACUCACGAGGACAAACAUUAAAAAUGUUUGUAAGGCCUAACUCAACUAAAAAUGUUGAGAUUGUUAGAAAGAAUAUUUUUCUUGGUUAUUCAGGUUUGAACUCGUAAUAUCCCUUUAUGCUUUUCAAAUUAUGUCUGUCAUCUCAUCUACAGACCAAAAAAAUCAUUGAAAGAGUUAAACUUAAGUUUUUAUGUUGUACCAAAAAUAAAUCUUAUGCUUUUAUGUCAUAAAUUCAUACAAAUAAUUUAUUAUAGACAUUAAAACCAUAACAAUCCACAUACGAUGCAUGUAAUGUAUAUCUUUAAUAGAUUUAUAAUAUAUAAAAUUUAUGACAUGUGUCUCUUUUUCCACCCUUUGG
rnacentral:lncRNA from 1 species